CUUUUUCUGUCUUCUAGAAGAGUUCUCACCGGUUGUGGCCACUAACUGGGCCUUCUCUUUAUUUCUCAAUAUUUACUUCUUUAGCAAAAUAUUCUUCUUUCUUUUACAGAAAUAUUCUUCCUAUGUGGAGUCGGAGUUCUGUCAACUAUUACUGCUGUUCUUGCCUUAACCCAGGCCAGCCACCCAGCCUGACCACCUGCUUGUCAUUUCCUUAGGCCCACUGCUCCAAGGAAAUCCUUCCUUUCUCCACUGUGUGGAAUUAGAGCAUGAGUAUUUGAUAAAUAAGGCAUAAGGAAAACAUUUAAAAGGCAGCAAAAAAUAACAGAGCUUUAUUUUUUCUGCUGUUUUUUUACUUUCCAGAUCCCCCCAGUAUAUAGUUGUAUAUUUUAGUUGUGGGUCCUUCUAGUUGUGGCAUGUGGGACACCGCCUCACUGUGGCCUGAUGAGCGGUGCCAUGUCCACGCCCAGGAUCUGAACCAGUGAAACCCUGGGCCGCCAAAGCGGAGCACAAGAACUUAACCACUCAGCCAAGGGGCUAGCCCCUAACAGAGCUUUUGUUAACUGAAUUAAUGUCACAAAUUUUAGCUGAGUGCUAAGGACACAGCCAUAAACAAGACAAAUGUGGGUCUCUGCCCUCACAGAGCUCAGAAUGCAGAGGACAAGCAGGAAAGACAAAUGCCAAAGAAAUAUUUAUAAUAAAAUGUAAAGGCAAGGGUGAGGUGGAACCUUUGGAAGGUAAGUAGAUUUGGAUGAGUUCAUGAGAAUGGAGCCCCCAGGACGGGAUUAGCAUCCUAAUAAGAAGAGGAGGAGACCAGAGCUCGCUUUCUCUCCAACAUAUGAGGAUACAGCCAGAAGGCAGCUGUGUGCAAGCCAGGAAGAGAACCCUCAUCAAGCCAAACCUGCCAGCAUCUUGAUCUUGGACUCCCAGCCUCCAGAACUGUGAAAAAUAAAUGUCUGCUGUUUAAGCCACCUCGUCUGUGGUAUUUUUGGUAUAGCAGCCCAGGCUGACUAAAACAACUCCCUUCCACAGUGUAAAGUAGUGCUACUCAAAGUGUGGGCCAUGGACUAAUGCCCGUCUGCAAACUGUUUGUUAGUGGUCCAUAACGAGACUAAGCACAGAAAUUG
rnacentral:lncRNA from 1 species